UACGUAGGUGACCAGCGUUGUCCGGAUUUACUGGGCGUAAAGAGCGCGCAGGCGGUCGUUCAAGUCGCGUGUGAAAGCCCCCGGCUCAACUGGGGAGGGUCACGCGAUACUGAUCGACUCGAAGGCAGGAGAGGGUAGUGGAAUUCCCGGUGUAGUGGUGAAAUGCGUAGAUAUCGGGAGAACACCAGUGGCGAAGGCGAGCUACCUGGCCUGUUUCUUGACGCUGAGGCGCGAAAGCUAGGGGAGCAAACG
rnacentral:rRNA from 1 species